GGAGAGAUGCCAGAGUGGUUGAUUGGGACGGUCUCGAAAACCGUUAUGGUGCUUGUCGCCAUCGUGGGUUCGAACCCCACUCUCUCCGCCA
rnacentral:tRNA from 1 species